GGUUGUUUGGCCGAGCGGUCUAAGGCGCCUGAUUCAAGAUCAAACAUUCUUGACUGUGGAACACCACAGGAAUACUCAGGUAUCGUAAGAUGCAAGAGUUCGGAUCUCUUAGCAACCA
rnacentral:tRNA from 1 species